UACGGGGGGAGCAAGCGUUGUUCGGAUUUACUGGGCGUAAAGGGCGCGUAGGCGGCCACUGCAAGUCACUUGUGAAAUCUCCGGGCUUAACCCGGAGCGGCCAAGUGAUACUGUAGUGCUAGAGUGCGGAAGGGGCUACUGGAAUUCUCGGUGUAGCGGUGAAAUGCGUAGAUAUCGAGAGGAACACCUGCGGCGAAGGCGGGUAGCUGGGCCGACACUGACGCUGAGGCGCGAAAGCCAGGGGAGCGAACGGG
rnacentral:rRNA from 1 species